AUACGAAUGGUUGUGUCCAAAAAUCUCUAGCACUGAUAUCUUCAAACAGACUGUUAACGGCAGAUCCAACUGCAUGAUGAUCAGAGCUCGAUGUUGAUGCAGCCAGAUUAAUUUCUUGCCUUUCUGCUUGAUCACUCUGUGAGGUUUCUUCAUGCUCUUGAUCAGCUGAAUCUGUCUUCUUAUCGAUCUUCUUCUUCAAGUGGGUGUGCCAAUAGUUUUUUAUUUCGUUAUCUGUUCUUCCCGGUAGUUUUGCUGCAAUCAAAGACCAUCUGCAAGUAUUGAUAUAAUUAAGAUCAUUAGCUGGCUGCUCGAGUUCGAAUCCUGAAAGUAACAGAUCGAUAAAAAUAAUCAUCCGUUUCUGGGGUAAUUUUUACACACUUGCAAGGAUCAAUUUGAUUGCCAAAGGUCAUCAACUAAAAAUUUUCAUGAAAACAUUGAACAAGUGAUGAAUGUGAAGAGUAGUACGAACUUAUUGCCAUGUUGUUGGCGUGUUUUGAUGAUAGUAUCCUCUUCUUCCUUGGUGUAGUUCCCAUGUUUUAUAUCUGGCCUCAGGUAGUUCAUCCACCGCAGCCUGCAACUCUUGCCACUCCUUGAUAGACCUGUAAUUAAACAACAAUUAUCAACAGCAACAAAUAAAGAUCCCAUAUGUAUACGGAUACUUGAGAUAACAAUUUUUAUUAAUUGAUGUGAUCAAUUAAUUACCAGCAAACCUGGGGAGUUGAGUCCAAUUCCAGUGGCCAUAUCUCAGAAUAUAAGCUCUUAACUUAUCAUCUUCUUCUUUACUCCAUGCACCUCUCUUCAUUCCUUUUCCAUCAUACGUUGGGGCUCUCACCAUUUUUGAUAACUCACUCACCACUCUUUACUCUCUUCUGUGGAUGUGUUGAAAAUCUUAGUUUGCUCCCCAAAUCCUUUUUAUACGGACCAUCAAUUGAAAAACACCAACGUGUGAAAAGUAAUUUAGUCAUCACAUUAAUUCACAGCCAUUUUUAAAGAAAGACUCAAUCUGGAUAAUAGUAAUUUUCACUGCCCUGGAUGGUUCAUUCAAGCAAUAUCAGAAAAAAAGAAUGUAAAUUGAGGGGCCCUAAUUAAAUUAAGUCUCGCAUGUGACGAAAGGAAAAUGGGUGAGUAUUAUUAAUGGUUGAUAUUCAUGCAACGCUCUGCAUUCAUAAUCCGAAACCCUGAAAUUGACGUUUUCAUGCGGCACGAUGAUUGUUGUCUUCAGUGUGAGAUGGCGGUUCGCUGACGCAAAAGGUAUUAUCUCAGCUUUUGUUUGCACUUGCACGUUUGAGCUCUUUUCAGAGAACACAAAUCACAAAGGUCCCUUUUUCACACGUUACAGAUUAUUACACCUGUCUUCCCAGGUUGAAAAAAAAAAAAAAGAUUGCUACACGUUUAUCACGUGGACCAUAAGAUUUUUUUAUGUUUCGGGAUACUCAGUCGUCUCCAUUGUUUCCCACUUCUUAGUACUAUACAUACGUAAGUUAAUAAAAUUUUGAUUAACUUAGUAAACCGUUGGUAAUCUUCUACAGAUACAUACAAAUUACAAAUCCAAAUCUUAUUAGGUAGAAUACAUAUACUUUGCCAUCCAACCUAAAAUUCUGCAUGUUAAAAAAAUAUAUUUCCAUAAAUACACAAGAAAUAUAAUGUCUCCAUGGAAACUUGAACCCCACGCCUCCGUUAUAAUUGAGGAACAAUGGUUCUUCUAGAUAAUAAUACCUGGUGUAAUAUAAUUGUAGAAAUUUUAAAAUAUAACGGAAGUAUCAUGUCAACUAAUAACAAUAAAAUGAUGUUAUGAUAUGUAUAUGUUUAUUUUAAAAUAUUACCAUGUAAGUUUACACAUUAUAAAUACAUUAUUUAAUUAUAUUAUCUCUAAUAUAUUUUAAAAUUUCUUAUAUAAUUGAUAGUAUACGAUUAAGAAAGAUCCACUCAUCAUUAAUUUAAUUACGCACGUCAUAAAUACAUUAAUUGAUUAUGUUACAUUUGAUAUAUUUUAGAAUAUCUCAUAUAAUUGAUAGUAUACAAUUAAGAAAGCCAAAAUGGCAAAAAUGCUAUAAUGAUAAUCAUAAUCAAUAUUGGGGUCACUCUACCUCUAUAAUUUAGGACAAACAGAGCUAAUACUGCAGUUGGUCUUGAAAAAAACAAAAUAAAUAAUUCUAAGAACAGUACAACUGUAUCAUUAAAAUUAAAAGAUAAAAAGAGCAAAAACCGAUUUGUUGUUUGACUGAAAUAUUGAAGCUUCUUACUAUUUUAAAAUACAUCCAAACUCUAACUAUCAAGUUGUUUUAUUGAUCAUACCAUUUCACCUUUGAUGGUUGUUUGAUAUUGAGGACAUGAAUACCUUUAAUUGUUUAAUUAAUUUAAUAAUUUUUAAACAUAACUAAUUGAAAAAUUAAAUUGAAAACUGACAUGAAUACCUUUAAUUAUUUAUUAAUUUAAUAAUUUUUAAUAAUAAUUAAUUGAAAAUUUAAAUUUAAAAUUAUGAGAAAAAAUAACGGGAUCAUAAAUUUUAAUUAAUGAUGAAAUUUUUUCAGUUUUCAUUUAAAAUUAAAUGAAAAAUAACAGUUUUACAUUUUUCCCAGAUUAAAAUAAAUAUUUCAUAUCAGGGAAAGAGCCUAUAUAUAGUUCUAGUAGAAAAGGAGCACUAUUGUUUGAAUUAAGUUCUAACAAAAAAGUGAUAAAAACACACUUAAAACCAUUGUUUUUAUAUGUUUAAAAAAUAAAAGAACACAAAAAUCAUGUUGUUUUGAAUAUAUUUUUAUUGUAUUUUGUCAAGGUUUUGUUCAAAUACUUGUGCUUAAUUAAGAAAAAUAAUUUAAUUAUUGUUGGGAAAUUGAUGGGUGAAGCAAACACGUAACUAAAGUGAAAUUGAAAAAUAAUGAGACACAAAAUUACACAGGGACACUAAAAAUUACGUGGUUCGACUUUUAGUCUACGUCCACGUGCGAAGAUACAAGAAAAAUAUGUUAUUAGUGAAAUGAGAAUUAUAAAUAUUAUAAUAUUGUGGCUCACUUUCCAAAAGCACAAUACAUCUAAUCUCUCAAAUCACUAAAAUAAAAGCUUUAUUAUUUAAGGUCUUCAAAACUCUCUGCUCUCUUAAAUGUAGGAAUUGCUUCUCACAAUGGAAUAUUUUUGCUCCUUCUUUCCGUUUCUAUUUAUAGAUAAAAUUUAGGCACUAUUUAUCAAUUAUACAUUUUAUUAUUAUUAUUAUUAUUUUCUUACCUGAACGGUGCGGCACCACUCUUUGUUUUUUUUCCUUUUUCCUUUGCGGUGGGCCGCUUACUUUUUGACAAUUAUUACUUAACUAGAUAAUAUAUAUAUAUAUAUAUAUAUUGCGUGAAAAUGGUUUAUUUUCAUUUAUGAGCCCAUUUUUCUUUAAAUUCGAAUCCGAACUUCCAUGCCUGGUCAAAGACUAAUGUAUUUCUAAUAGCAUUCUGUCCGCAUCAAUUUCAUUUUCAUUUUUCCCAAUUAAAAUCAUUCCGUGUACAAGCCAUCAACAUCCAACUUUUCAAAUGGGCCAAUAUAGCUAAUAUAGCUAAUUAUACCCCGCCGCAAUGAAGCAGCUUUUUUCAUAUUGGUGAUUUGAGUUUGAAUUUUAGCUAGGAGCUGCUAACUUAGCUAAUAAACGGCUAAAAAAUUAAUUUAGAUUUUCUCAAUUCUACUUUUUAAAUGAAUUAAAUAAUAAAUAAAGUUAUAGUAUUAGUUUAAUGAAAGCAUGCAAAUACUUGUAUUAACAGCUUGUGGCUUUAGCAUGCGAUACAUUGUUUUUUCAAUGCGGUGCGGUUUGGAACAUUCAUGGAAGAUCAGGGUAGUGACCCAAAUUUAUGCAAUUAUAAAUGGUAGGUCUUGGCCCUUUCAAACUUGCACUUACAUUCAUGGAAGAUCAGGGUAGUGACCCAAAUUCAUGAUUGUUUUAUGUCUUAAAAUGAAUGAUGUGCUUAGACAUUGCUGUUUGUACACCUUAGAUAAUGGAGCAAACAAAUAUUGGAACUGUUUGUUUGGCGUUGGAUUGCACUGGGUGGGGUAGUAUAGUGGAUAAUAUUUUAUUCUACUAACUAUGCAUGUCGGGGCUUUUAUACUGCCAAUGGAUAUCGCGAAAUUGGUUAAUUCUCGAGGAUUCAGAGCACAGCUAUUGGAUUAAGAAGCUCAAGCUUUCUAUUUCAUCCAUUGUUGGUCGUCCAACAGGUUCUUUCACAUGUAAAAUGUUCCUUCCACAGCCUGUCUUGUUAUACAGAGUUGUAAUGACAUUUAUUCUCAUAGAUUGUAAUUUUGCGCUCCAUUGGUACAAUGCGGAUACUCAGGAGAUGAGUGACAUUGCCACUGAAAUGAUUUUGACGGGUGCUGGAAUCAAUUUUCUAUUGUUGACUGAAGGAGAACAAUCAGCCAGUGCGCCACAAUGAAAUCUGAUCAUCUAAUAGUGUCUAGACUGUAGGAUAUGGCAUCCUGAAGAGAAUAAUCAAUAUGUGCACCGGCAAUAAAAAAAUCUGACCAUCUAACGACGUCGAGUCUAUAGGUAUGGCACACGAAGUGUGCUAUAGUAACAGCCUUUGCCUUUGUAUUAUUUUGUUUGUUUGUUUCUGUAAUAUAGGGUGAAUUCAAAACUUAAUUUUAUUAUGAUCGAAAACAAAUGUUUGAUUUGUGUACAUUUAUCGCUUUAUAAAAUGAUGCAGUAACGUGCUUGUGGUAGGGAUGGCAAUGGAUUGGAUUUGAUCCAAGAUCCAUGUGAUCCAAAUCCAAUCGGAUCGGAUUUGGAUCGGUUUAAAAUAGAUUUGGAUCGGAUUUGGAUAUCGAUGUACGGAUCUAAGACGGAUCUGGAGCAGAUAUGGAUCUAUCUUAAUAUCUAAAUCCAUAUCCAUAUCCACUCAUCUUUUAAUUUUAUUUUAUUUUAAAAGUUUCUUAAUAAUUGUGGAAUGAUAAUGAUAAUAAAUUUUAUUCAUAGCAUAUUAGUAGUAUUUACCAUGAAUUUAAACUCUUAAAACUUAAAGGUUAGUUUUGUAAAUUUAAAGGUCAGCCAAGCCUCAAAGCAUGUACAUGCAAUAUUCAAAAUGCAAUCCAAGUAAUAUAACCUGGUAAUUUAUUUUAUCAUAUUGGCCAAAUAAUUUUUAAGGAAUAUAGUUAUUCAUAUAUUUAGUCAAAUAUGGUCAUAAUAAAAAUAAUAAAGGACUGAAUAUAAAUCAUAUUUAAUUUAUAUGUCAUUAUCUAAUGUUGUAGAAAUGAGGGUAGGUGUAUCGUGGAUACUAGAAUGAUGAAGGAGACAAUAGAAUAUUAGAUUGAUCUUACUUCUGCAAUUACUUCUGAAUGAUAUUUUAUUAUCUUUCUUAUUUGUUGUUUUGGUGUAGAAGUAUAAGCUACAAUAUUUAUUAUAUUUUUGAGAAAAAUUAUAUAAUUUAUUUGUUAUCAAUACAUUUUAGCCUUCAAUUUUCAAUCUAAAAAAUUAUUACUUUUUUAUUACGGAAUUUUAGAAUUCAUGACGGAUCUAGAGCAGAUUUGGAUAUUAAUUUUUUUUUCGGAUUUGGAGCAGAUAUAGAUAUUUAUUUCUCUUUUGGAUCUGGAUAUGGAGCGAAAAAUAUGGAUUCAUAACGGAUCUGGAGCAGAUACGGAUCUUAAUUUUUAUUAUGGAUUUGGAUCUGGAGCAGAGUAGAUCCAACCCAUAUCUGCCCCAUUGCCAUCCCUAGCUUGUGGGGCAAUAAUUUGAGAGAUUGGAGAAAUAUUUUGCGUCUGUAACUUAUAUAUAUGUUGAUCACACAUUUACCGUGAUCGAUUACUGUUCUGUAGAGAGUGAUUGACCAAAUAUCAUAACUUUUAACAUGAUUUAUGGGCAUAAUAUCUAACAAAUGAAAAUUGGAGGGGAAAAAAAAACCAGUAACUCAAUUCCCAAAGAAGCAAAAAGAAGAGACAAUGAUAAAUUAGAACGCUGCACAAAAAUGAGAACUGUACUUCAAGACCUUAAUAAAAAUUAACCAAAAGCUGACAAAGAAUAAUAUAAAUUCAAUCUUCAUCUACCUAAAUUUAGAUAAUAGAUACUAGCCUACACACACCAUUGAGAUGUUGGACAUGAUUUAUCAUCAAAGAAAAGACAUGAUGAUAUCUAGCACUUGAUUCAUUUAUACAUGGGAUGGCGACGGUCGUGAAUUUGGUAGCCAUUGCCAGGGACUUGGGUACCAUGGGUUUGGUCAUUGAUGAUAGCCCCAGCCACCUGGGUAUGAUCCUUGUGACGGCGGUGGUUGGCUAACUGGUAGAGGUGGCAACCCCGGUAACCCUGGAAUCCCCGGCAGGCCCGGCAACUUCGGCUGUGGGGGCAGCCCCGGAAGCUGAGGUAAUAGCGGAAGUCGUGGAAGCGGUGGCAGUCUUGGUAAUUGUGGCAGUGGUGGCAGUUGUGACAGCCAAGAAGAGGAUUCUGGUUUUUCUUUUGCAUGGUCAGCUUCAGCACCAGCACAAGCUAGUGCUCGCGUGAUAGAGAUUGCAAGAACGAACAACAAUAUCACAAGAAGUGAUGAUGUCUUUAUGAUUGUUGUGCGCGGAAUGCGGAAUCAAGCGCACCAAAUAAUUAUAGAAAAAUAAAGAACACAAGAAUUACGUGAUUCGGUAAUUAAACCUACAUCCACGGAUGCAAGAAAGAAUAAUUGUUUAUUUAACAAUUAAUAGAGUACAAUAUUUGAGUAACGAAUCUCACUUCCCAGAAACCCAAAUAUACCCAGUACUCUCACACUCUGCAGGAAAGAUAAAUUCCCCAGACACACUUCUCUCACUUCUCUCAAAAGCUUAGAAAUUUAUAAGCUUAACAACUUUGGGAUGAUAUAGAAUAGAAAAAAUCCUGAACUAUUUAUAGGAGAAAUGAAUUACUAUGCAAAGAAUAAAAUAAUUAAAAAUAUAAUUUUUAAUUAUUAUUAUUUUUCAAAUUCAUCCCCUUUGUCAAUUCUUUCUGACUUUUCAACAAUUCUCCACCUCGGCGAAAAUUUGUCCAAAUCUGAGCCGACUACCAACGAACCCUCAUCCCCAAAGUGAUCAUUCAAUAAGGAUCUAGAAUGGCUGUGUCGUUUCGACUGCCUACGUACCCAAAAUUUGGGAUCAAGCCAACCGUAGUUCAAAAUUCCCGAAUGACAUAUCUUUAACACAAUAAACACCGCUCUCGAUAAUCUCUCUCACAUAAUGAUAUUUCACAUCUAUGUGCUUCGUCCGAGCGUGAUAUGUUUGAUUCUUCGCAAGGAAUAUCACACUUUGAUUAUCACAUAAGACCGCAAUGUUCUCCUGGAUUACUCCCAAAUCACCUAACAAGCCUUUCAACCAGAUAGCUUCCUUUACAGCUUCAGUUGCUGCCAUGUACUCUGCUUCCGUAGUGGACAGAGCAAUUGUCGAUUGCAAAAUUGACCUCCAGCUAACCGGACCUCCACCCAAUAUGAAUACGUAGCCCGUUGUUGAUCUUCGCUUGUCAAGGUCUCCAGCGAAAUCAGAAUCACAAUACCCAACACAUUGUUGACCACAAUCCUUCUUGAACAAUAACCCAACAUCAACUGUCCCAUACAGAUAUCGAAGAAUCCACUUUACUGCAAGCCAGUGACUUUUACCCGGAUCGUGCAUGUAUCUACUAACUAUGCUUACUGCUUGAGAUAUGUUGGGCCUUGUACAUACCAUAGCAUACAUAAGACUACCCACAGCACUAGCAUAUGGAACACGAGCCAUGUAAUCGCGCUCCUCUUGAGAUUUAGGACAUGAAGAAUAGCCUAAUUUGAAAUGAGGAGCUAGAGGUGUACAUACCGGCUUAGUUUUGUCAUCCAUACCGAAUCUUUCUAGCACUUUCUUCAAAUAAGACGUUUGAGUCAACCAUACGCUCCCAUUCUUCUUGUCUCUACAAAUCUCCAUCCCAAGUAUUUUCUGUGCAUCACCCAAGUCUUUCAUCUCGAACUCAGAAGCCAGCUGCUUCUUUAAUCUUUCGAUCUCAUCUCUAUUCUUCGAAGCUGUAAGCAUAUCGUCGACAUAGAGUAGUAAAUAGAUGAAAGCUCUAUCUGGUAGUCUUCUAAAGUAAACACAAUGAUCGUGUUCACUUUUGGUGAAUUUCUACCCUUGUAUAAAUUGAUCAAAUUUUUUGUACCACUGCCUUGGCGAUUGCUUCAGUCCGUACAAAGAUUUAAUCAACCUACACACAUGAUUUUCCUUUCCAGCAACUCUGAAACCACAAGGCUGAAUCAUAUAGAUUUCCUCCUCCAAAUCUACAUGUAAGAACGCCGUCUUAACAUCCAACUGAGCCAACUCUAACUCAUAUUCUGCAACUAAAGCAAGUAGGAUACGAAUGGAAGUAUGUUUUACAACUGGAGAGAAAACUUCAUUGUAGUCAAUACCUUCCUUUUGAGCAAAACUUUUUGCCACGAGCUUUGCCUUGUAUCGAGGAGUUGUUUGAUUCGGAGAUCCUUGCUUUUUGGUGUAGACCCAUUUAUUACCAAUAGCUAUUUUCCCUUUUGGUAACUUUACAAGUUCCCAAGUUUGGUUUUGAUAGAGAGAUUUCAUCUCUUCCUCCAUGGCUAACUUCCACCGAUCACUUUCACUGCUGCGUAAUGCUUCACCGAAAGUAUUGGGGAUGUCAUCAUCAAUAACUGGAAGUGCAUAGGCUACCACCAUAUCUUUAGUAAGCCAUCCGAGUUUCUUUAUCUCUCUUCUUGGCCUCCUUGUUGCUAUAAAAUCAUCAUCAUCUACAUCAUCAAUUGUUUCUUCAUUUUGUGGGACAUCAGAAGAAACAACCUCUUCUUUAACUUUAGGUGUCACCUCCAUAGUUGAACCAUUCUUUGAUGUAGAACUAACUGGUACAUAUGGAGUUGCAUCAAACUCUACCCGCUGCAAUACCUCUGUGGUCUUGUUCUCCACCUGCUGAGAACUUGAAGCUUUUAUCAUUGAAGCUUCAUCAAAUGUGACAUCUCUGCUACACACAAAUUUUUGUCUUCGAGAUCCCAAAGCUUGAAGCCCUUUACUCCACCUUUGAAUCCCACAAAGAUAGAUUUUCUAGCACGAGGAUCCAGUUUACCAUCUUUGACAUGAUAAUAAGCUGGACACCCGAAUACACGAAGGGAAUCAUAGUCUUGUGCAUGCUUUCCAGACCACAUUUCCAUAGGAGUUUUACCUCCAAUUGCAGCAGAAGGCAACCGAUUUACCAAGUGACUUGCGUAGCUCACAGUUUCAGCCCAAAACUUUUUAUCUAAACCAGCAUUAGAUAACAUACACCGUACCUUCUCCAGAAAAGUACGAUUCAUACGCUUAGCCACACCAUUUUGCUGCAGAGUAUGUCUCACAGUGAAAUGUCUUUUAAUACCCUCAUUCUGGCAUACUUACAAGAAUGGAUAAGAAGUAUAUUCACCCCCAUUAUCAGAUCGUAAUACUUUGAUCUUUCUGCCAGUUUGAGUCUCCACCAAUUUCUUCCACUUCACGAAAAUCUCUAGAACCUCAUCCUUUGCUCGCAUGGUGUACACCCAUACACGUCUAGAGAAAUCAUCAACAAAUAUAACAAAAUAAUGGCUUCCACCAAUUGAUGCAGUCUUGGUUGGUCCCCAUACAUCACUAUGAACAUAUUCAAGGAUCUCACGAGUAUCGUGAUUAGCUGUACCAAACUUGACCCUUGUUUUCUUGCCUACUACACAAUGCUCACAGAAAUUAAAUUUACAGGUUUUGGUACCUUUUAAGAGUCCAUGCCUCAUCAGAGUUUGCAAAGACUUCUCUCCAGCAUGUCCCAGUCGUACAUGCCAUAGCUUGGUGGUGUCACUGUGCGCCUCAACAACAUUUGCUUCAUCAGUUGUACCUCCCUUUAAAUAGUACAGAUUGUGACGCCGAACCCCUUGCAAAAUCACCAUAGCCCCAUGUGUAAACUUCAUUGUGCCAUAUUUAAUGGUAAAUUUGUAACCUUUAGCUUCCAAAGCACCCACAGAAAUUAGAUUUUUCUUUAUCUCUGGAACAAAUCUAACCUCUUUGAGUUCUCUGACCAUUCUAUCAAACAUUUUGAGCCGAAUUGUUCAUAUCCCAAUUGUGCGACAAGGUUGAUUAUUCCCCAUCAUAACUGCACCAGAUUCCAGAUUACGAAAAUCCAUAAACCAUUCCUUAAUAGGACACAAAUGAUAGGUUGCUCCAGUAUCAAGUAUCCAUUCACUCGAACUAGCCACGUAUGCUGCAGGAGUAAUACUUAGUGAAUAAUCAGAGUUCUCAUCUUUCCGUGCCAUGUUUGCUGCUGAUGGUUUCUUCCUAUCUCUCUUUUGAGCCUUUGGACAAUCUUUUCUCCAAUGACCCUUUUCAUGACAAAAGGCACACUCAUCUCGAGCUAUAUUUCUGCUUCUCGAUUUGGAUCGAGAAUUCUUUCCACCACGCUUCUUCUGUUUCUCCAUCGCCCAAUCUCUGCUCACCAAAGUUUCAGACGAUGCUCGUUCAGAAUUUUUAUCAUUAUUCUGAAUCUCCAAACUAGUCAAUAUUGUGCAAACAUCUUUAAAGACGAUCACACUCUUCCCAUAUAUCAAAGUAGUCACAAAAUGGCUAUAUUCCUCUGGUAGUGAGUGUAACAGAAUUAUAGCCUUGACUUCAUCUUUAAUAUCUUCAUCAAGAUUCUUCAAAUCAGCAAGUAACUUUUCAAAUCUUGAAACAUGAUCGUGCAUUGACACCCCAGACUUCAUUCGAAAGCCAUAUACUUAGCUCAUUGCAUGAAGAUGAUUUUCAGGACUUUUCACCAGGUACUUCUCUUCCAAUGUACGCCACAAAGUCACUGCACACUCCUCAUCUUUCACCAAGUAUUUCACCUCCUUGGUCAAACAAGAUCUGAUCUGACCAUAGGCUUUCUCGUUCAUACGAUCCCAAAUUUCUUCAUCAUACAAGUGUCUUUUAUUUUUCAGAACAACAUCGAGAUCGAUUUGAAUAAGGGCAUCCAUAACUUCGCGCCUCCACAUGCCGAAGUUGAUUUUCCCAUCAAACUUUUCAACAUCGAUUUCAAAGCAAUAGACUGGAAUUUUGCCAGGUUAAAGAAAUGUCCACAUUCGGAGCGCAAUGCUCGUGUUUUGUUCUGCUUUGAUGUGAGGCUAUUCAUUUGUUGUCACUUGCCAUUUGUUGUGCGCGGAAUGCGGAAUCAAGCGCACCAAAUAAUUACUGAAAAAUAAAGAACACAAGAAUUUACGUGGUUCGGUAAUUAAACCUACAUCCACGGAGGCAAGAAAGAAUAAUUGUUUAUUUAACAAUUAAUAGAGUACAAUAUUUGAGUAACGAAUCUCACUUCCCAGAAACCCAAAUAUACCCAGUACUCUCACACUCUGCAGGAAAGAUAAAUUCCCCAGACACACUUCUCUCACUUCUCUCAAAAACUUAGAAAUUUAUAAGCUUAACAAUUUUGGGAUGAUAUAGAAUGGAAGAAGUGCCAUCUAUUUAUAGGGAAAAUAAUGGCACUAUUGCACCAACUCCUUUACUAUUCCACCUAACCUAAGCCAAUAGUCAAUUGUGUCCAUUUGGCAAAUUUGACAAAUUUGCCAACUUUCCAUUUUUUCUUCAAAUGUUUGGUAGCCAUUUGAAAUUUUGCAUUCAUUUUUGAAUUUCAAUGUCACGUGCAUGACUUUUCAACAAUGAUUUUAGUUGAGGCCUCUGUGUGAUAGCUUGAUGGUAAUUAUCUAUUGUGUAGAAAGAUAAGAGAUCAUAUUUCACAAAGGUUAUUUAAUUCUCUCUUAGUUUUUGAAUAACAAUAAUGUUAUAAUAGAAAAUACAGAAGAAACGAUAAUUUUUGGGAUUUUUGGUGGUUUUGAUUUGAAUAUUAAUGUUUAAAAUCAUAAUAACAACAACGUGCUUUAUCACCAAAUUUAUCCGGAUGUUUGCUCAUCUCUAACCUAUAUUCCAGUAACAAAGUUUAAGAAAAGAAAAAAAAAAUCUAAUCCAUAAUACUAUAAUCAUUUUGGCAUCUACGUAAGGUUUUGCAGCUCCUAUACCAAGGAUAGCAAAAGUCUCAUGACUUUCUAUUAUUAUAUUCAAUUUUAAUUUUUAGAUUUUGAUUAUUUUUUUAACUGUUGUCAGUAUUUCAUGUGAUGGUGGUACACAAGAUGAAUACAUCUAGUAAAACUUUGCAUUUUACUUAAUUCUGGUUCUCUUUUGGGCAUAGAUAAUGACUCCUAUUUCCUAUAAUGAUUCUUCCUUUUGGAGUAUAAUCUAUAUAUUUGGUAGUAUUUCCUCUUAUCUACGUAGGUUGAUUACUUAGAUCUAUUUCCCAUUCUUCUGGUAAAUCAAGUUCUCUCAAAAUCUCAAGAUAUUGUAUCUUUUCAACUUUAUUAAAUAGUUUAUCAAUUUCAAUAAAAUCUUUAUUGGGAAAUAUUUCAUUGUUGGCCGAAUUUGUCCGUGCACAUUCUAUGGCGUAUGUUAUGCUAUAUGGAUAAGAUCCAUUACGCAAUAUAUAAAAGUAUUUAAAAUCAUGACAUAGGAUUAAUGUCUUAUUUAUGUUUGUCCCUAAGACUUAUAGAAUAUUUGAGGUAUAUCUUAAAUAUUAAUUUUUUAUAAUUUAGGUUUCCUUGUAUUAUUGGAAGGAGUGCAUGUUUUUUUAUCUUUUAUGCUAUAUUAUCUAGUACAACUAAAUUCACUAAACUGUCUAUCCCUUUUUAAAAAUGAGCUUUUAUCAUUAUUUUGAACAUAUCCAAUCUUGGGCCUAUCACUGGAUCUUAUUCUAUUAAUUUUAUCUUCUAUAUCUAAUUUUAAUAAUAAAGGUAUAUUUGCAUAUCCUCGAACAUGCCUAAUUUUACAGGUUCUUCCCUUAUAAUAGCACUGAAAUACAUUAUGGGCGUGUUUGGUGCAUGAGAUUGUGUGGUAUUAUAAUAUUAUUCACAUUAAUUUAUUACUAAGGAGAUGUUUGGCAAAAUUUGAGACCUCAUUAUGCUGCAUUAUAAUGCACCAUAAUGCGGCAGCUUUUUGCCUCAAUUGAGGCAACAGUUAAUGCCUCAAUUGAGGCAAAUUUAUUUUAUUGAAAUAUUAUAAAAAUAAAUUAUUUUAUUAUUAAAUACUACUGUAAUGAAUAAAAUAUAAAAUAAAUUGUAUGAUGAUAUUAUUUUAUUUAUUAAUGAUUCAUACUGCUGNNNNNNNNNNNNNNNNNNNNNNNNNNNNNNNNNNNNNNNNNNNNNNNNNNNNNNNNNNNNNNNNNNNNNNNNNNNNNNNNNNNNNNNNNNNNNNNNNNNNNNNNNNNNNNNNNNNNNNNNNNNNNNNNNNNNNNNNNNNNNNNNNNNNNNNNNNNNNNNNNNNNNNNNNNNNNNNNNNNACAGCAGAUCUACCAAAAAAUUGUUAAAUUUCUAAAAUUUAAGAUUUCUAUAUUUAGUAUUUUUUAAGUAUUAAUAAAUAUUAUUUUCUAAUUAUUUAAUUUAAUUAAGCACAAAAAAUUAAUACAAUACAAUGCAACACCAAAUAUAGUCUAAUUAAAAAUUAAUACAAUACAGUGCAGCACCAAACAUUGUACAGCAUUGUUAUAGUACAAUGAUAAUGCAAUACAGUAUAAUACAAUACACCAACAUUAAAAUAAUGUAAUACAAUAUAAUACAAUACAGUGUGCCAAACACACCCUAUAUUUUUUUCUUUUAAUCAUGGUAAAUCAAUCUUUGGCUGAGGCUCAACACUUGUUCUACAAUUGUUUUUGGAAAAUUAUCCACCGACCACCUUUUUUUCUACCUUUUUUAAAAAUACACAUGUCCUAGUUUUUUUGGCUGAAUUCCUCUUAAAGUAACAUUUUCUUGCACCCAUCUACCUCCGUGCGGUCAAAAGAACUAAUGGAAAAUUGAUCAAAUGACUAUUUUACCCCAAAUAUAAAAUUAUAAUUUUGCCCUAAAUAAAUGCAAAAAAAAAAAGUCGCGGCUGGCCAAAAUCUAAUCCCAAACUCAAUCCAAUGACUGAAGAAGUUGCGGCUAGCCGCAGCAAAUCGGUAAUGGAUGGUCGAUCUUCAGGCUCGAGCUGCUGGUGGCACGAUCAUUGAUUGAGAUCAAGCUAUUAGCAGCGGAGAAAGUGAAGAAGAUUGGUGAGAGGUUGGGUGCAUAUUGAAGAAAGGAAAAUGAGAUGUUGUUGGACUGGGGAAUCUGGGAAAAUAGUGUUGCAUGUUGAAGUUGCAAUGGAGAUUACUACUGAAAUGUGUAUGGUGGAGUGAAAGCGGUGGAUAAUAAUGGUUGCGGGGCAUGCUAUCGUUGCAAACGGUUUUGAGGAUAUUGCUCUUUCUUGGCAUGGUAAUGAUGUGAUGUAAUGCGAAGAAAAUGGUGGCAUCAAUCUAAUUGCAAAUAAAGGUAAGAACGUUGAAUUUAUUACACACAACAAUAUAAAAGCGCAGGUCUAUUCCAAGGAAAAUGAAGAAUCCAGGUUGACUUUGAACAAGCUAAAAAACCACUGUAACAAAAUCACGACAUCUCCACAUGGUUUAUUCUAGAAAUUAAAACGAUUAUUGAUUAAAUUUUGGCUACACAUGAUAAUUAUCCAAAUUAAAACGAUUAUUGCCAUUGAUUCCCCAUCUCGAUGCAUUUACUUUCUUUGAUCUCUACAAAUGAUUAUGAAACAAAGAAUUUUUUUAAUUAAUUAUGAAACAAAGAAUUUAAUUGUGUUGAAACAAAGCAUUUCAAGAGGUAGGAAGAAGCUAAAAAACGAUGUCGUUUUUUUGCGAGGUCAAAAGAAAAAUUUAUCCCUAUGACAUCAACGAUGUUUUAACAGUGUGAACACGGGAGUGGAUGAGUGCAAGAAAAUGUAAGUUUAGGUGGAACUUAUCCAAAAAAACUCAGGAUAUGUGUAUUUUUAAAAAAAGUUAGAAAAAACAGGUAGUCAGUGGAUAAUUUCUCUUUUUUCUUUCAUGUAAAUCAACCCAUGGUAAAUCAAUCUUUGGCUGAGGCUCAGCCAUAGCAAUUGAGAUUUCUCCGAAAAUCAUUCUAAGCAAUUUGUCAAGCAACAAUAAAUAGAAAAACUAAAUAGAGAAUACACUAAUCACACAAUACAAUAUUUACGUGAAAAAUUAUAAAUCUAGAGAAAAAUCACGGUUAUUAGAAGACACCAGAGAAAAAAUAUUCGUUAUAUGAAAAAAUUUUACAAACACAUUCUCAUAAAUAAUUUUCUCUCACCCAAACCUCAAAUACAUGAUCCGAAAAAAUAUUUAUCAACAAAGCAAACCCGUAAUAUCUAUAUUGAAGAGCCAAAUGCUCCUAUAGUAUAUCUACAUGCUUAAGAAUGUUUCUCAAUUACUAAUUCCAAGAAUUUUACAUCAACACUUGUGAAAAUCUCUCGCUGAAAUUUAUGGUGCAACUUCCAUGUUGGCUUUCCUGGAAGUUUGUCAGCCAUCGGCAUAAAUUCCACAAAAUACCCUGCAUUAAUGCCAACCAUGCCUUGUGUGCAAAUCUUGUGGACUCACUAACAGUAACACAUUCCCUUUCAUGGCGCUAGCGACAUACCAUGAGAAUGUCAUCAUCAUCUAUUUAAUAAGGGACCAUCGUUUCUCACGAUGACGAGAGACUUACUAGCAAUGCUAUCAAUAUCAUAUCUAGAGCCAUUUGUCGACCCUACUUCAUUUCUCCUUUGACAGUUUCCUUAAGGUGCCAAAAUUUCCACAGCUACAAAUCCUUGUGCAAACCAAAUUGGAUACACUUUGAAUUGUCCAUAACCCAAAUAAUCAUUCUCCCAUUAAUUUUCUUUUUCAACAACAUUAAACCCCACCAAAUUUGAAAAAUACCAGUUGUUGAUAUAUAUGCCCUCCACUUUGACCUUGCUUUUCACUGCGCACCAUUCAGAUCGGCUUCACCAUAUACUUAAACUAUAUCGUAUACAUAAACAAUAUUGUAUAUGUGAAUAAUAUAGUAUACCCCAAGUACGAACUAUCGGCUCUAAUACCACUUUUAGAAAAUUGAGAUUUCUCUGAAAAUCACUCCAAGUAAUUUGUCAAACAACAAAUAAUUAGAAAAGUUAAAUGGAGAAUAAUUAAAAUUUAUGUGGAAAACUCUAAAUCUGGAGAAAAACUACAGCCGUUGUCAGCAGACAAUAAGAGGAAAAAUAUUCACUAUGUAAAAAAUUAUUACAAUCACAUUCUCAUAAAUAAAAUCUUAAUUAAAAUAUCUAUUAUUACAUUUUAUCAAUCAGUCUUAUCAUUUAAGUGGAAAUGUACAAAUUAAAUAUAUGCUUCCAUCGGCCAGGGUGGUAACAGAUGGAAAAUGCAUUAGGACACGUGCAACGACUUCAGUAAUUAAUAAGAAAUCCCACUUUGGAAGGACAUGAACGGAUGUGCUUGAUAAGUGCCAUAUUUUGCGUACUUUCAUAUCACUGAGGAGACAAAUGUACUGUGACAUUAACAUAAAGGCUGUCAUUUAAUUUUUGUUUUAAAUGAUCUUCAAUAUCAUAAAAUCCAAAAAAGUUUUUGGCAUACGAUUAACUGAAAUAGAGCAAAAGUUUAACGUUGGCAGUUCGAAAAGCUAGCUAGAGGAAUAAAACGCAUGCAAUAAAGAUUGAUAAACUAUAAUUUAUCUCAUGUGAUAAUUAUCAUCACUGGAUAAUUUACAUUGCUGGAUAAUUUAAAUUGCUACGUCUAAUUAAUUAUCAGACCAGCAAAAACUGGGUACAAAUUGACAUGUGGCUGUCUAGUAGCCAGCUGCUAGCAUCAUCAUGAGGAGGAAAACCAACAUCGAACGCUUGCAGUUCUUGCAUCACUGGGCCGAAUAUAUCUACGGUAUCCUCAUAGCACGAAUCACCGGACAGAGAGUAAUAAUCAAUUUCGCUAUCUGAUACGAAUGGUUGUGUCCAAAAAUCUCUAGCACUGAUAUCUUCAAACAGACUGUUAACGGCAGAUCCAACUGCAUGAUGAUCAGAGCUCGAUGUUGAUGCAGCUAGAUUAAUUUCUUGCCUUUCUGCUUGAUCACUGUGUGAGGUUUCUUCAUGCUCUUGAUCAGCUGAAUCUGUCUUCUUAUCGAUCUUCUUCUUCAAGUGGGUGUGCCAAUAGUUUUUUAUUUCGUUAUCUGUUCUUCCCGGUAGUUUUGCUGCAAUCAAAGACCAU
rnacentral:lncRNA from 1 species